CUGGGCCGCUCCCGCCCGCCCGGCGGUCACUCAGCGGCUGUGGCUCCGUUAUCGCCCCGUCUGUCGUGUGGCGUGGACACCGAGAGGUCCGCAGGGCUGGUGGGCUCCACUGUGGAAGUGUUUUCUUUUUUCUCAAGUUCAAGUAACCCCUUAUUUUUACUUAAAAAUGGCUCCAAAGCGCAGGAGUAGUGACGCCGGCAAUUCGGGUACACCGAAGAGAAGGCGUCAAGUGCUUCCCUGAAGUGGCAAGGUCUUAGGUUCUCGACCGAACACGGCAUUUUAUCAUCUCACAUCAUCACGGCGAGCUCCUCUAUAAAUAACUGUGGAAGAGUUUAUUUUGAAGACUCUCAAGUGGAAGGGAUGCCAAGAAGUAGCUUUCCUGUUGACCUAUAUGUCUUGAUCCAGCCCAAAUGGUUGUGGGCAUUUGCCUGAAACAAAGAAGAAUGCAAAUAAGCAAGGAACUCCGUGUUUCGUUCAGAGCAGUGCCUGCUCCAAUCUCUCUUUCUCUGCUUACUGGUUGGAUCCAAAGAGCUCCAAAGGCCCCAGAUAGGACAACAGAUGCAAGGCCCCCGAAUCCCUGAGUCCACUACAAGGAGCAAAGCUGCCUUGCCCACUGACCAGGAGAUUUUGCUCAAAGAAGCACACAAGGGCUGCCGGCUUUGAAGUGGCUGCGGAAGAUGCUCUGCAGCCGAGAAGCCAGCAGUUUAUAAACAAUAAUCUGUGUCUACCUACCAGGCUCUUGUUACUCCCUGAAACAUUCUAUUCCACAGAGAGCAAAUUCAGCAGAAGUUAACAGACACUUCAAAGGCUAACAUGCGGAGUAUUUACUAAGAUACCAGGACUGCUGAUUCAAGUGAAACCAGCUCGUAGUCUGCUGAGUGCUUUCUCUUAAAGACUGCCCUGUACAGCUCUACUCUUUCCUCUUCCUCCACUUGGAUGUACAACUCUGGGAGCUCUGACUAGCAAAUA